AGUUUGAUCAUGGCUCAGAUUGAACGCUGGCGGCAGGCCUAACACAUGCAAGUCGAACGGUAGCACAGAGAGCUUGCUCUCGGGUGACGAGUGGCGGACGGGUGAGUAAUGUCUGGGAAACUGCCUGAUGGAGGGGGAUAACUACUGGAAACGGUAGCUAAUACCGCAUAACGUCGCAAGACCAAAGAGGGGGACCUUCGGGCCUCUUGCCAUCAGAUGUGCCCAGAUGGGAUUAGCUAGUAGGUGGGGUAACGGCUCACCUAGGCGACGAUCCCUAGCUGGUCUGAGAGGAUGACCAGCCACACUGGAACUGAGACACGGUCCAGACUCCUACGGGAGGCAGCAGUGGGGAAUAUUGCACAAUGGGCGCAAGCCUGAUGCAGCCAUGCCGCGUGUAUGAAGAAGGCCUUCGGGUUGUAAAGUACUUUCAGCGGGGAGGAAGGUGUUGUGGUUAAUAACCACAGCAAUUGACGUUACCCGCAGAAGAAGCACCGGCUAACUCCGUGCCAGCAGCCGCGGUAAUACGGAGGGUGCAAGCGUUAAUCGGAAUUACUGGGCGUAAAGCGCACGCAGGCGGUCUGUCAAGUCGGAUGUGAAAUCCCCGGGCUCAACCUGGGAACUGCAUUCGAAACUGGCAGGCUGGAGUCUUGUAGAGGGGGGUAGAAUUCCAGGUGUAGCGGUGAAAUGCGUAGAGAUCUGGAGGAAUACCGGUGGCGAAGGCGGCCCCCUGGACAAAGACUGACGCUCAGGUGCGAAAGCGUGGGGAGCAAACAGGAUUAGAUACCCUGGUAGUCCACGCCGUAAACGAUGUCGAUUUGGAGGUUGUGCCCUUGAGGCGUGGCUUCCGGAGCUAACGCGUUAAAUCGACCGCCUGGGGAGUACGGCCGCAAGGUUAAAACUCAAAUGAAUUGACGGGGGCCCGCACAAGCGGUGGAGCAUGUGGUUUAAUUCGAUGCAACGCGAAGAACCUUACCUGGUCUUGACAUCCACAGAACUUUCCAGAGAUGGAUUGGUGCCUUCGGGAACUGUGAGACAGGUGCUGCAUGGCUGUCGUCAGCUCGUGUUGUGAAAUGUUGGGUUAAGUCCCGCAACGAGCGCAACCCUUAUCCUUUGUUGCCAGCGGU
rnacentral:rRNA from 1 species